rnacentral:rRNA from 1 species
UACUAGAGUAGCACUCGCAUAUCAAUAAGCGGAGGAAAAGAAACUAACAAGGAUUCCCUUAGUAACGGCGAGUGAAGCGGGAAGAGCUCAAAUUUGAAAUCUUCAAGGUUCUACCUUGACGAAUUGUAGUUUAUAGAAGUGUUUUCUGUUGGAGUUUUGGUAAAAGUUCUUUGGAAUAGGACAUCAUAGAGGGUGAGAAUCCCGUAUUUGACCAUUAUUUCCAACUUUGUGAUACACUUUCAAAGAGUCGGAUUGUUUGGGAAUGCAGUCCAAUAUGGGUGGUAAAUUUCAUCUAAAGCUAAAUACUGGCGAGAGACCGAUAGCGAACAAGUACCGUGAGGGAAAGAUGAAAAGAACUUUGAAAAGAGAGUUAAACAGUACGUGAAAUUGUCAAAAGGGAAGCGUUUGACACCAGUGUUGUUUUCUCGAAAAUCAAUUAGAAAUGGCCGGAUUUUGUGUUGUAUUGACCUUUAAAAGCUUUCUUCACUCUUUUCUUGUCUUUUUUAAUGCACUUUUCGUUUAACAAGUCAACAUCAGUUUCUUUUGUUGUAAAAGGGUCAUUGGAAGGUGGCUUUCUUUUCGGAGAAAGUGUUUAUAGCCUUUGGCCUCUGCAAUCGGAGAGAUUGAGGUCUGCAGCGUAGAUCCUUCGGGGUUAGAUGCAUUUGUGCUAAGCUAUAGCCUUUCAUAGACAACUUGUUGACUAUGAUCAGUCAUGUAGCUUACUCGCUUAUGUCAUUUUACCUACGCUUAGGAUGUUGAUAGUCACAGCGUGUAC